GAUUAAGCCGGUAGUGAACCCAGAGCUUUUAAAGGUGUCCAGGCUGCUGUCUUGGGUGCAGUUCACUUGGCUAAGAGCCGAGAAGGCUGUAGGCAGGGCAGGAAAGAGAGAAAGUGUGGAAGAAAAGCAGAAAACGGUAAAAACUUGCUUCUGUUAUUCGUGGCUUCUAUGAAACCUGCUUGGCUUGUGCUGAAACUCGCGAGGAAAUUUCACAGCCGGAUUGCUCCUAGGCCAUCAUAACGGGAGGAGGCCCAAACAGCCUGUGAUGAGUGAGGUGCAAGUGGAAAGGAACUGUGGCCGCCAGCCCUCAGCCUUAGCCAAACUCCCAGCUGCCAGCCAGCAGGAACCUGCCAGCCAUAAGUGAGCCAUCUUGAAAGCGCAUCCUUCAGCCCCAGUCAAGCCAUCUCAGCUGGCGCUGUGUGGCACAAAGAUGAACCAUCCUUGUUCAUCCCUACCUACAAUGCAGCAAAACUACAGUGCGUUGUUCCCAGGUUCACCUCUGGGAUGAGAUCUGGACGAGAAUAAUCAUGCCUGCCCCUUCACCUCUGGCUGCACUCUGAGAAGUGCCAAGAAGGUCAUAUCAAAGACCCAGAGGGGAGAGAUGGAGCUAAGUGGUUCCAAACAUUUAGAGCAUGGAAUUGAGCUACUUUUUCAAAAUGGGGAAUGCAGAGGCACACUGGAAACGCAAUAGAACAAUGGCUGCCAAUUUAAAAGCAGAAGUUAAGAAGAGCAAACCCGAAUGUACAGCGAGAGAGCUUCGGGCUGGAUCAGCUCCCGGCAGAAGCGAGACUGGAAAUCUUGGAUUCUGUUGCCUCUUCUCUCCUCUGUGAUGUGGAAGAAGAUGUCAGCACCUGGGUGUGGACUUGGUCAUUAACGCUUAUUUCCCAACCUUUGCCAAGCUGCCUAACUCCCUGGAGUCUUAGUUUUCUCAUGUGUGGGAGACAAUGUGUUCUUUAUCCUGAAGUCAUUGUGAGGACUGAGUGAGAGGAUGUAUGUGGAAGGAAGCACCAAGCAUGGUUCCUGGUAUAUACUAGGUACUCAGUAAAUGUGGACUAGCGUGAAUAUGAACUCCACUCACUUCGUGCCCCCUCAUGCUGGCUGGUCCCCGGUGCUCUGGGCUUCCCAAGUCAUGGCAGUUUUCCCAAAGUGGCCCCUAAAGUCAUGUCAGUCCUUGGGGCCUCAUUACUUAGGUUUCCUGUGCCAUCUGCUCCUUUCCAGUCAUAGAUUCCAUGCUCCGUUCUGACAGAAGCUUGCUUCUGCUGGCUGUCACACUUAAAAAGUGGCGGAUGACCAUUCGAGCGUUAGAUGAUAAUGAUUUAUGAACACCAUCCCUCCAGACAGCAUUUGCAGUAUUACAAGUUUUGCUUUUAUUUUAUUUGUCACUAGGAAGGCACUGAGAACAAAAGGAAACUCUCUUGAAUGGUGGGAUCGAGGCACUGUAGCACAUUUUUUAUGGAGGGGAAGGAGGCUUUUCACCUGGAAACCUUUCAAAUCACACCCUAUAAGUAGCUCACGAGUCUCUCUACUCAUACUGAUCUCUUCAUCUGCUGAGUUGAACAGUGUCCCCCAAAUUCAUGGCCACCCGGGACCUGUGAAUGUGACCUUAUUUGGAAAUAGGGUCAUUGCAGAUAUACUCAAAUUAAGACAAGGCCAUAUUGGAUUAGGGGGAGCCCUAAAUUCAAUAUGACUGGAGUCUUUAUAAGAAGAGGAAAAUUUGGCCACAGAGAUAUAGACCUACGGGGUAUCAGGCCCUGUGAAGACAGAGUCAGAGAUUGGAACGAGGUGUCAAGUCAAGGAUCAACAAGGAUUGCUGACAACCAGAGCAAGAUGGAAGAGGCAAGGAAGGGCUCUUCCUUAGAGACUUCAGAAGGAACAGGCCCUGCCAACACCUUGACUGUGGACUUCUAGCCUCCAGAACUUUGAGGGAAUAAAUUUCUGUUGUUUCAAGCCGCCCAGUCUAUG
rnacentral:lncRNA from 1 species